rnacentral:rRNA from 1 species
UACGUAGGAUCCGAGCGUUAUCCGGAUUUAUUGGGUUUAAAGGGAGCGUAGGUGGAUUAUUAAGUCAGUUGUGAAAGUUUGCGGCUCAACCGUAAAAUUGCAGUUGAAACUGGCAGUCUUGAGUACAGUAGAGGUGGGCGGAAUUCGUGGUGUAGCGGUGAAAUGCUUAGAUAUCACGAAGAACUCCGAUUGCGAAGGCAGCUCACUGGACUGCAACUGGCACUGAGGCUCGAAAGUGUGGGUAUCAAACAGG